rnacentral:misc_RNA from 1 species
UCCGGUUUGUCACCGGCAGUCUCGCAUGAGUCCCCAACUUAAUGCUGGCAACAUACGACAGGGGUUGCGCUCGUUGCGCCACUUAAGGCAACACCUCACGGCACGAGCUGACGACAGCCAUGCACCACCUGUGCGGGCCCCGUAGGGCUCCGUGUUUCCACGGAUUUACCCCGCAUGUCAAGCCCAGGUAAGGUUCUUCGCGUUGCGUCGAAUUAAGCCACAUGCUCCGCCGCUUGUGCGGGCCCCCGUCAAUUCCUUUGAGUUUCAGCCUUGCGGCCGUACUCCCCAGGCGGGGCACUUAAUGCGUUAGCGCCGGCACCCAGGGGGUCGCUCCCCCAGGCACCUAGUGCACAUCGUUUACGGCGUGGACUAC